UCCUGGCUUAGGAUGAACGCUAGCGACAGGCCUAACACAUGCAAGUCGAGGGGCAGCACAAGGAGUAAUCUGAGGUGGCGACCGGCGCACGGGUGAGUAACACGUAUGCAACCUGCCUUUAAGCGGGGGAUAACCCGGAGAAAUCCGGACUAAUACCGCAUAAUACCUAUUUACUGCAUGGUAAAUAGUUUAAACAUUUAUGGCUUACAGAUGGGCAUGCGUAUGAUUAGCUGGUUGGUGAGGUAACGGCUCACCAAGGCAACGAUCAUUAGGGGUUCUGAGAGGAAGGUCCCCCACACUGGUACUGAGACACGGACCAGACUCCUACGGGAGGCAGCAGUGAGGAAUAUUGGUCAAUGGGCGAGAGCCUGAACCAGCCAAGUCGCGUGAAGGAAAGAAGGUUCUAUGGAUUGUAAACUUCUUUUGCAUGGGAAUAAAGUGAGCUACGUGUAGUUUAUUGUAUGUACUGUGCGAAUAAGGAUCGGCUAACUCCGUGCCAGCCGCCGC
rnacentral:rRNA from 1 species